rnacentral:rRNA from 1 species
UGAGUGGCGAACGGGUGAGUAACACGUGGACAACCUGCCUCAAGGCUGGGGAUAACAUUUGGAAACAGAUGCUAAUACCGAAUAAAACUUAGUGUCGCAUGACACAAAGUUAAAAGGCGCUUCGGCGUCACCUAGAGAUGGAUCCGCGGUGCAUUAGUUAGUUGGUGGGGUAAAGGCCUACCAAGACAAUGAUGCAUAGCCGAGUUGAGAGACUGAUCGGCCACAUUGGGACUGAGACACGGCCCAAACUCCUACGGGAGGCUGCAGUAGGGAAUCUUCCACAAUGGGCGAAAGCCUGAUGGAGCAACGCCGCGUGUGUGAUGAAGGCUUUCGGGUCGUAAAGCACUGUUGUAUGGGAAGAACAGCUAGAAUAGGAAAUGAUUUUAGUUUGACGGUACCAUACCAGAAAGGGACGGCUAAAUACGUGCCAGCAGCCGCGGUAAUACGUAUGUCCCGAGCGUUAUCCGGAUUUAUUGGGCGUAAAGCGAGCGCAGACGGUUU